AGAAAGCGUUCAAGCUCAACAAUGAAAACAUCUUAAUGUCAAAAAUAUGCAACCAACUGCUAACUUAAUACCGGAGAUCGCAAGAGCCUUCGUGAAGGGAAAG